UAACACAUUCUACAGUAGGAUCAUUUCUAUAGGAAUCGUCACUCUUUGACUCUUCAAAAGAGCCACUGAAUCCAACUUGGUUGAUGAGCCUCAUAACCUUCAUUCCCUAGAGUGAGAAGAAUUUAUCUCGAUUUAGCUUGGUCCGCAAUCCUUAGCGGUUCGGCCAUCUACUUUAUUUUAAAUUUGUUUUUGCCGGUUUCAGUUAUAACUUUCUUUCGAGAUUACUUUAACAUUACAAUUGGCGCGAUGAUCUUGACCCUUGCUAUGAACUUCUUUAUUGAAGGUAUAGUACAUUGGGCGGGAAUGAAUGGCAGUCUGACAAGU
rnacentral:snoRNA from 1 species